rnacentral:rRNA from 3 species
GAGUGAUCGAAAGAUGAAAAGCACUUUGAAAAGAGAGUUAAAAAGCACGUGAAAUUGUUGAAAGGGAAGCGCUUGCGAUCAGACUCGCCUUGGGGGUUCAGCCGGCAUUCGUGCCGGUGUACUUCCCCCAGGGCGGGCCAGCGUCGGUUUGGGUGGCCGGUCAAAGGCCCUUGGAAUGUAACGCCUCUCGGGGCGUCUUAUAGCCAAGGGUGCCAUGCGGCCUACCUGGACCGAGGAACGCGCUUCGGCUCGGACGCUGGCAUAAUGGUCGUAAGCGACCC